GACGUGUACUCGGCGCUGUUGUGGAGCAUUCGUUCAGUAGACAUCAAGUUGAAAGCAUCCAGUGUAUUUCCGCCUCCUGACUUUGCUUUGGUUUUCAAGUCUGUUUCAACCUGAAAUAUUAGCCAGAAUGAAGGUUUACAUGUGCCUGCUUCUCCUGAUGGUCGUUGGAUGUGCCUUGUGUUUCGCAGAGACGGACGACUUUCUUGCUGAGGAGUUGAUGCAAGAACUGGAAUCUCGCGAGAUAGUGAAGAAGUAUUGCAUAUCUCAUGCCGAUUGUCCUUCAUUAAAGAUAUGUUUUGGUGGCUGGUGCAUGUGGGGGGAUUACUGACAAUCAACAUGAAUGAAUUAAACCAUGAUCGUCAGUGAAUGACCGACAGCAAGUCUUUAUUUUGAUUAAAUAUAAAUAUUUGAUAUUCAUUCGGCUCAGAUCUUCUUGUUACAACAAGAUUGUCUCAAUUUUGUUGUAACAACACUAGGUGCGUGUUCCAGCUUUCCCCCCGUUGAUUCCGUUACAGUACUGUUUUUUUGUAAAAGCUGCUCACCGUACAUUUUAAGAGUGAUAUUAAAACCAAAAUGAAACAAAAAUAUAUAUUAUCGAUCCAUGAAUAUAUUUAACUAUCGGCACAUUUGAAUUUUUCGCAGAACGCAUACAAAUCCUGAAGAUAAAUUCUUCUCUUCUCUCAUUGAAGUGACACGAAUUAUGAGCUCGAGCACGGACUUAAAAAUUAUGUCAACUAUGUUAUGUCAAAAAAAAAACACGUUAACUUCUAGUUUGUUUCUGUCCGAAAUGUUUUUAUUCUUGGGUUUUUGGGUAUAGGUCUAUUAGUGGUGCGUGGUUAUCAUUUUCCGUGAUGAUAGGUUAAAUCCACUUUUAAAAUAUUCGUUCAUAUUCUUCCUGCAUGUAUCGCAUAAGCAACGCUGGGAUAUGUAGAAACGUUUGCAUCCGAGGAUUUUUGUUUCGGAAAAGGCGGAACACUUUCUGAGUUGGCAAACUUGUUUGUAUUGAUUUCAAAUCAAAAAAGACAUUGAGGGUUAGCCACCUUAAUCUUUCUUCAUUUAAAAAUUUGUAAUAAAAAAAGCCGUAUCCUCUCCGAGUGAUCCCCGUUUG
rnacentral:lncRNA from 1 species